CCAGACUCCUACGGAGGCAGCAGUGGGGAAUCUUCCGCAAUGGACGAAAGUCUGACGGAGCAACGCCGCGUGAGUGAUGACGGCCUUCGGGUUGUAAAGCUCUGUUAAUCGGGACGAAAGGCCUUCUUGCGAAUAGUGAGAAGGAUUGACGGUACCGGAAUAGAAAGCCACGGCUAACUACGUGCCAGCAGCCGCGGUAAUACGUAGGUGGCAAGCGUUGUCCGGAAUUAUUGGGCGUAAAGCGCGCGCAGGCGGAUAGGUCAGUCUGUCUUAAAAGUUCGGGGCUUAACCCCGUGAUGGGAUGGAAACUGCCAAUCUAGAGUAUCGGAGAGGAAAGUGGAAUUCCUAGUGUAGCGGUGAAAUGCGUAGAUAUUAGGAAGAACACCAGUGGCGAAGGCGACUUUCUGGACGAAAACUGACGCUGAGGCGCGAAAGCCAGGGGAGCGAACGGGAUUAGAUACCCCGGUAGUCCUGGCCGUAAACGAUGGGUACUAGGUGUAGGAGGUAUCGACCCCUUCUGUGCCGGAGUUAACGCAAUAAGUACCCCGCCUGGGGAGUACGACCGCAAGGUUGAAACUCAAAGGAAUUGACGGGGGCCCCGCACAAG
rnacentral:rRNA from 1 species